AAAUUAACCAGCGAGGCUCCCCUCGACUCCCUCGACAUGCCUUUUCCUCGUUCGAUCGCCCGGUUCGCUCGGACGCAGAUAGACACCCACAUCUCCCACAUCCUCCUCUUUUCAACCCAACCCGCCUAGGGUUCCUAGCCCCACGUCCGCCGCCGCGCCAUGCUACUAUUUUCCAAGCGCCGUCGCAAUGGGCUCCAUCGCCGUACAACCCUCCUACCAAAUCGUUUGAUGCGAUGGGUCAUGCCGCAUCCCCAGGCCCCACAAGGUACACCCACCAGCACUACCAGAUCGGGCGGUGAAGAGGACGCAAUCCGCCGGCGACGAGGCGGGCGGCGCCACCACGUUCGUGCUUAAGCGCCUCCGGGUACCAGGCAUGCGCGUGAGGCAAGGCGCCUCCUGGGCUCUAUCGUCGCAUCACCGACAACCCCACGGCCGAGCAGGAGGAGUGCUUCCACGGAUUCAAAUAUAUGCAAGUAGAUGCAGGCUGCAGCACAUGCUUCCAUCACCUCCCUGUGUCGCUCGAGUCAUGGGCUCCAUCGUGUGACGCACUGCAAGGAUGUCAACCAUACUGCUGCAGGGUUCAGUGCCGUCAUCUUUGUCCGCAUCUUCCGCUCGGCAGAUGGAGUCUCCAUCGUUAUAUGGCUGCAGAGGUAAGUUGCUCAAAUGAUUAACAUUAUGUUUGUGCUCCAGGUCUAAAGGAGGUAGAGGAGCUCCAGUUUGAUCCUAAGGAUGGUAUUGCUUUUUUUAAAAUUAAAUUACUUGUUCGUAUCGUAAUUUCACACUGAGAAUUUUUUUUCUCAACUAUUUGCUAUCUGUUGUCCCUUCGAUGUUUUAAGUGGCCAAUUUGAGUUUGCCCGAUCACAGUUUCCACAAGCAUUGUUUGGCCUUUCAAAAGUUCUGAUAGAAAAAUUCUUACAUUCUUUCUCUUACAACCAAAAGGAGAUUCUACUUCAUGUGUUGUCUUACAAGCAACGAGGUAUGCUCCUGGUCUACAAUACUAAUGCUCCUUACCUAACAGUUGCUUGUCAUUAGUUAUAGUGCUUGGUUAAAAUAAUUAUUAUGCUCCUUGUAAAUUGUAGGCUAGCUGUCUUGCACACACCACAAAUGAAGGUUUUGGAACUCCAUUCUCCAAUAGUAUCAGUGAAUCAAACACUCCAAUCUCUCUGAAUUCUAACCCAACUUACAAUGCUAUAUAUCUGAUGCCAAGGAGUGAAAACUUGCAGCAACAUCUCCGACACCCUCUCGACGAGCUGCAAUUAGAUCAUAGCUGAGGAGGCGGCAAUGACCACUGAGGUACAACAACCACUUGACACUGAACCUAAUGCGUCCGCUUUAUCUUCAUCUACAUCAUUAAGUUCUCUUUGUGGUUUCUGAUAUUGCGGAAGCUGAAUGACAAUAGUAAUGACUGGUGGAUCCAUGUUUGCGUUUGCUGACGACAACGAUAAUGAGUUUUUACGGCUGCACUUGAUGUCUAGUGGUCUAUGCUUCUUGUUUAUAUUAUCGUUGUCUUUAAUAGUGUAUUAUAUAGUAGGUAUGGUUUCCUUUUGAUUUAGCACAUGGGCUUAUCAGUGUAGGUGGCUCAGUUUGGUUUGCUUCUUGCAAAUGUUCUGCUCCAAUUGUUCCAUUUUUAAUAACCCAGACCUGGUUUAAUUCAAAAGUGUAUUAUAUAGUAGGUAUGGUUUCCUUUUGAUUUAACACAUGGGCUUAUCAGUGUAGGUGGCUCAAUUUGGUUUGCUUCUUGCAAAUGUUCUGCUCCAAUUGUUCCAUUUUUAAUAACCCAUACCUGGUUUAGUUCAUGUUUACACAUUCAUGGAAAAAAUUAUGGUUUAGUUCUGUCCUAUGUUUAUAAAGCGGUAAAGCGAAGCGAGGCGCUAGGGGGGCGCCUCACUGCUUAAGCGAUAAAGCGUAAAGCGAGGCGACGCUUUAGACAGACUCUGAACCUGAUGGGCAGUAUAAUAGAGCACCAUUUAGUGAGACAUAUAUAUGUUGAUUCUAAUCCACCAGUGAGCCCAUAUAUUCUGAUCCAUCCACUAAGCAGUAAGCAACUAGCCAAUUGCUAUAAGAGAGGCAGUAGCACCUAACAGCAGAGGAGUUGUGCAUAGCAUAACACACAACAGAGCAGAAAAGGCUGGUGCAGAUCUGAGGAAGCUGCUGCCAGAGGAGAGAGGAAAGAGCUGAAAGCCUGGAUAUUUGCACGCUCUGGUUUUGGUUCUCUCUCUUUCUUUCCCCUCCUGUAACUGUUUCAAAUGUGAGCCCAGCCCUGUUUCCCUGCCAGGAAUCUCUGUACCCUGCCUGGCAAGUCUAAGGCGUCCUCUCUGCCUUAAAGCGCCAAUCAGGACGCCUAAGCAGGCGCUUCAGACGCUUUAGUGUCUAAGGCGGACGCCUUAGACACAUGUCUAAAGCGAGUUGGACGCUUUGAGCCUGGAGGGCGCUCUAACGCUUAAGCGUCGCUUAAGCGACGCUUUAGGGACGCUUUACAAACAGAGGUUCUGUCCAUCGAUCUCCUAUAUGAUCGUUGAGUUUUGAACUUGAUGGCAACACUAAGUUCAGACACAGAUGAUGUUCUCACUGCAAGCUCAUACCAAGCUAUUUGGUAUACUCAUUUCUAUUUGAGUUGGAUAUUUUUUUCUGUCCAGAAAGUGAUUCGAUAUUUAGAUCUUCGAAAUGCCCUUGGUGUGGUCUAGGUAAUUAGUAUUAGAGGCGAUGACACAACGGGCGGGGUUAGAAAACUGAUGAUCUAUUAUAUAUAGUGUCUUCUCUCUUUUAUGGUACGCCAUACUUGAAGUUUUUUGUUAUUGUUGGCGUCAGUCUUGGCUCGUUUAGAAUUAAUGAACAUAAUCAUGAAUAAUAGGUUCGCGUCAGUCUUGGCUUGUUAAGAAUUAAUGAACAUAAUUGUGAAUAACAGGUCAAGAACAGAACGUUCAAGAAGGGUUAAACUUGUUAAUGCAGCAGCAUGUUUUUCAUGGCCUCCUUAUAUCUUAUAUUUAUCCUAAGUUUGGGUUUCCUUUAUUUUCUGGACGAAACAAACAAUCUAUGUUUUGUACGAAUGGUUAAAGAAGAGGCUAUCUUUCUAUUUGAUUGUUGCUUAAAGGAAGAGGGUUAAUAUUAUUCCGUAUGAUGCCUAUAAAAAACAUCAUAACUGAAUACGGUAUUGGUUAUUUUGCGUUACGUUUGAGGCCAUUUAUGUUUUUCUAGAAUUACUCUUUUUUCCAGCUCAAAUAUCAAUGUCCUCUGGUAUACUUAUAACUGUUAAAAUAUUCCUUUUUGUUCCUGCUUAAAACAUAUUGUUUGCUCUUUGCAGGGUGAUCGUAUCCAUGCUACCAUUCUGCAGUAUCUUGAGAUUUCUACAGUGGAGUAGUACACAACUACGUAUCACAAGUUUGAGCUUAGAUGAACAACAUGGGCACCAUCAAACGGAUAGAUCAUGUGCCUGAUGGGUCUCAUGAUGGAGUAGUUGAUAAUGGUUAUAUACAAAACAUAUCUUGACAGAGGUGGCGCCAGACGUCACAGAGAGGUACCGCGUUCGGUCCAACGAGGAGCUCCGGGCAUGGUGGGCGGUGGCCAUGGCAUUGGCCUCAUGGGUUUACUCUGACUGCCGCCGGUCAUUCUCGCAAACAAUGGCUUAGGUUUUGAGGAGGAUUAGCAUGUCACCACAUAACAACUUUGUAAGUGUGAUGUAAUACUGGCGAAUGUAUGCAUUCACACAAUCAAAGGAUUGAAUUGUGCGAAUGAUUCAUACUCCAUAUCUUUUUACCUAUCUAGACUCUAGAUCAUAUGGGAAUAACCACAGUUGCUUACCUCAGCAAAUAGCAACAUCACUGCACUUGGUCCUUUUCUGCCCUUCAACAAGUUGGCCCCAGACAUAUCUUGCUUGCUUGCUGAUCUGGUGAUUGUUCAACACAACUGGUUUUUUGUCUAUCUGUUACAUACCAAAUGAGAUCAUUCACCAGCACACUCAAGCAGAAGUAGCAAUAGAAGACACAUAUGUCUGAUGUGCUCAAGAGAAUGACGUCUCUACAAUCUGGAUGUUGCCCAGAUAGCAGAGAUCAUAAAAACAGGAGAAUCAUGGGUAAGGUGCCCCUUUCAAGUCAAUCCUUCUUAGAAGGGAUGCAACAUGUUAGUAAUUGUAUAGAUGGUUCAAUUGAUUGUGAAGUGUGUGUUCAUGGAGGUGGAAGGGGGCAUUGCGAGCCGGAUUUGUCACUACUGAGGUGGCGAACAUGGACUAGGGUUGCGGAGUGCAAAUGAAGCUAAAGACAACAUAUAAUUAUUUAGAUCAUUUCUCCCUAUAUACAUGGUUGAGUUAAAUUGCGAGUGAAGUGUAUUUCAAUUAUAUUAUGAUUGUUGUAGGAUAUAUUUUUUAUACAUACAAAAUUUUAUAUGUAUUAUAUUUACAGGUGCAAUU